rnacentral:rRNA from 1 species
GGAUUCUAAGGCGCUUGAGAGAACUCAGGAGAAGGAACUCGGCAAAUUAGCACCGUAACUUCGGGAGAAGGUGCGCCCCGGUAGUGUGUAGCGGCUUGCCCGUGAAGCACGAUGGGGUUGCAGUGAAUUGGUGGCUGCGACUGUUUAAUAAAAACACAGCACUCUGCAAACACGAAAGUGGACGUAUAGGGUGUGACGCCUGCCCGGUGCCGGAAGGUUAAGUGAUGGGGUGCAAGCUCUUGAUCGAAGCCCCGGUAAACGGCGGCCGUAACGAUAACGGUCCUAAGGUAGCGAAAUUCCUUGUCGGGUAAGUUCCGACCUGCACGAAUGGCGUAACGAUGGCCACACUGUCUCCUCCUGAGACUCAGCGAAGUUGAAGUGUUUGUGAAGAUGCAAUCUACCCGCUGCUAGACGGAAAGACCCCAUGCACCUUUACUGUAGCUUUGCAUUGGACUUUGAUGAGACUUGUGUAGGAUAGGUGGGAGGCUUUGAAGGCGGGAUGCUAGUCCCGCUGGAGCCGUCCUUGAAAUACCACCCUGGUGUCAUUGAGGUUCUAACCUGGAUCCAUUAUCUGGAUCGGGGACCGUGCAUGGCAGGCAGUUUGACUGGGGCGGUCUCCUCCCAAAGGGUAACGGAGGAGUUCGAAGGUUCGCUAGGUACGGUCGGACAUCGUACUGAUAGUGCAUUGGCAAAAGCGAGCUUGACUGCGAGACGGACAUGUCGAGCAGGUGCGAAAGCAGGACAAAGUGAUCCUGUGGUUCUGUAUGGAAGGGCCAUCGCUCAACGGAUAAAAGGUACGCUGGGGAUAACAGGCUGAUGACUCCCAAGAGUUCAUAUCGACGGAGUCGUUUGGCACCUCGAUGUCGGCUCAUCUCAUCCUGGGGCUGUAGCCGGUCCCAAGGGUAUGGCUGUUCGCCAUUUAAAGAGGUACGUGAGCUGGGUUUAAAACGUCGUGAGACAGUUUGGUCCCUAUCUGCAGUGGGCGUUGGAGAUUUGACGGGGGCUGCUCCUAGUACGAGGGGACCGGAGUGGACGCACCUCUGGUGUACCGGUUGUGACGCCAGUCGCAUCGCCGGGUAGCUAUGUGCGGAAGAGAUAACCGCUGAAAGCAUCUAAGCGGGAAACUUGCCUGAAGAUGAGAUCUCCCGGAGGCUUGACCUCCCUGAAGGGUCGUGGAAGACCACCACGUUGAUAGGCCGGGUGUGGAAGCGCAGUAAUGCGUUAAGCUAACCGGUACUAAUUGCCCGUGCGGCUUGAUCCU